rnacentral:rRNA from 1 species
CCUACGGGAGGCAGCAGUGGGGAAUAUUGCACAAUGGGGGAAACCCUGAUGCAGCGACGCCGCGUGAAGGAAGAAGUAUUUCGGUAUGUAAACUUCUAUCAGCAGGGAAGAAACUGACGGUACCUGACGAAGAAUCCCCGGCUAACUACGUGCCAGCAGCCGCGGUAAUACGUAGGGGGCAACCGUUAUCCGGAUUUACUGGUUGUAAGGGAGCGUAGGCGGUUUAGCAAGUCAGAAGUGAAAGCUCGGGGCUCAACUCCGGGACUGCUUUUGAUACUGUUGAACUAGAUUGCGGGAGAGGUAAGUGGAAGUCCGAGUGUAGCGGUGAAAUGCGUAGAUAUUAGGAGGAACACCAGUGGCGAAGGCGGCUUACUGGACUGUAAAUGACGCUGAGGCUCGAAAGCGUGGGGAGCAAACAGGAUUAGAUACCCCAGUAGUC